GAUGAACGCUGGCGGCGUGCCUAAUACAUGCAAGUCGAGCGAACGGACAAGAAGCUUGCUUCUCUGAUGUUAGCGGCGGACGGGUGAGUAACACGUGGAUAACCUACCUAUAAGACUGGGAUAACUUCGGGAAACCGGAUCUAAUACCGGAUGAUAUUUUGAACCGCAUGGUUCAAAAGUGAAAGACGGUCUUGCUGUCACUUAUAGAUGGAUCCGCGCUGCAUUAGCUAGUUGGUAAGGUAACGGCUUACCAAGGCAACGAUGCAUAGCCGACCUGAGAGGGUGAUCGGCCACACUGGAACUGAGACACGGUCCAGACUCCUACGGGAGGCAGCAGUAGGGAAUCUUCCGCAAAGGGCGAAAGCCUGACGGAGCAACGCCGCGUGAGUGAUGAAGGUCUUCGGAUCGUAAAACUCUGUUAUUAGGGAAGAACAUAUGUGUAAGUAACUGUGCACAUCUUGACGGUACCUAAUCAGAAAGCCACGGCUAACUACGUG
rnacentral:rRNA from 1 species